UUUCUGCAGCCCUGGAAGUGCCCUGUGUUGCGUUCGUACUCUGGGACAGUCGGGCUUGCAGAGAGAGCAUUGGGCGGAGGAAGCCGAGGCAGGCCUGUAAAAAGCAUCAGCAGCUCCAUGUGCAAUGUUCCUCUGACAUUCUCAGAACUGUUGCCAUGGAGGUAGUGAGCAUCCCCCAAAAAUAUACCUGGUUGUAAAGAGCAAAUUAAAUUU